CUUUCACUUGCUGCUGGAAAUAAGGCAAGAGCACAUCUCCUGAUCAAUUAGAAGACACAACUGGCAGGAAAUUGCAACUUUAAAUGUUAUCAACCUAUUCUAUUCUUUUCUACUGCAAAACCAUCCUCAACAAAACAAAACUCAAAGAAUAAGAAGAAUCGAGUUGUCCUUUGUGUCCUUCUACAAGUUCUUCAAGUUUGGGCAGAGUUGUUGUCACAAAAUGCACAGAACUUGACAGUGCCUGUCCACAAAGGAGUCUGAAGGUUUCAUGGGAUUUUGUGAUUUAUCUGAGAUUCUUUCGAAUUUCCACACACACCAUGAAGAAAUUGCUUUGCUCUUUCCUGGAUGUUUGAUGACUUCUGAUUGGACUAUGACUUGUUGGUUUUAUUUGUCUGAGUUGCUUUCUCAUCUCCUUGAAAGCCUUUUAUUCUUUUGACAGUAUUUGCAUUAAAGUUACCAAACUGCAUCA